rnacentral:rRNA from 1 species
CAGUAGCCGCGGUAAUACAGAGGAUGCAAGCGUUAUCCGGAAUGAUUGGGCGUAAAGCGUCUGUAGGUGGCUUUUCAAGUCCGCCGUCAAAUCCCAGGGCUCAACCCUGGACAGGCGGUGGAAACUACCAAGCUGGAGUACGGUAAGGGCAGAGGGAAUUUCCAGUGGAGCGGUGAAAUGCGUUGAGAUCGGAAAGAACACCUGUGGCGAAAGCGGCUCACUGGACCAUAACUGACGCUGAUGCACGAAGGCUAGGGGAGCAAACAGGAUUAGAUACCCCGGUAGUCCCUGUCUCUUAUAC